rnacentral:rRNA from 1 species
UACGGAGGGGGCUAGCGUUGUUCGGAAUUACUGGGCGUAAAGCGCACGUAGGCGGCUUUGCAAGUUAGAGGUGAAAGCCCAGGGCUUAACCCUGGAAUUGCCUUUAAAACUGCAUCGCUAGAAUUGUGGAGAGGUAAGUGGAAUUCCGAGUGUAGAGGUGAAAUUCGUAGAUAUUCGGAAGAACACCAGUGGCGAAGGCGACUACCUGGUCUGGCAUUGACGCUCAUGUGCGAAAGCGUGGGGAGCAAACAGG